rnacentral:rRNA from 1 species
GACGAACGCUUGCGGCGUGCUUAACACAUGCAAGUCGAACGGAAAGGCCCUGCUUUUGUGGGGUGCUCGAGUGGCGAACGGGUGAGUAACACGUGAGUAACCUGCCCUUGACUUUGGGAUAACUUCAGGAAACUGGGGCUAAUACCGGAUAGGAGCUCCUGCUGCAUGGUGGGGGUUGGAAAGUUUCGGCGGUUGGGGAUGGACUCGCGGCUUAUCAGCUUGUUGGUGGGGUAGUGGCUUACCAAGGCUUUGACGGGUAGCCGGCCUGAGAGGGUGACCGGCCACGUUGGGACUGAGAUACGGCCCAGACUCCUACGGGAGGCAGCAGUGGGGAAUAUUGCACAAUGGGCGGAAGCCUGAUGCAGCAACGCCGCGUGCGGGAUGACGGCCUUCGGGUUGUAAACCGCUUUCGCCUGUGACGAAGCGUGAGUGACGGUAAUGGGUAAAGAAGCACCGGCUAACUACGUGCCAGCAGCCGCGGUGAUACGUAGGGUGCGAGCGUUGUCCGGGUUUAUAGGGCGUAAAGGGCUCGUAGGUGGUUGAUCGCGUCGGAAGUGUAAUCUUGGGGCUUAACCCUGAGCGUGCUUUCGAUACGGGUUGACUUGAGGAAGGUAGGGGAGAAUGGAAUUCCUGGUGGAGCGGUGGAAUGCGCAGAUAUCAGGAGGAACACCAGUGGCGAAGGCGGUUCUCUGGGCCUUUCCUGACGCUGAGGAGCGAAAGCGUGGGGAGCGAACAGGCUUAGAUACCCUGGUAGUCCACGCUGUAAACGGUGGGUACUAGGUGUGGGGUCCAUUCCACGGGUUCCGUGCCGUAGCUAACGCUUUAAGUACCCCGCCUGGGGAGUACGGCCGCAAGGCUAAAACUCAAAGGAAUUGACGGGGCCCCGCACAAGCGGCGGAGCAUGCGGAUUAAUUCGAUGCAACGCGUAGAACCUUACCUGGGUUUGACAUGGAUCGGGGGUGCUCAGAGAUGGGUGUGCCUCUUUUGGGGUCGGUUCACAGGUGGUGCAUGGCUGUCGUCAGCUCGUGUCGUGAGAUGUUGGGUUAAGUCCCGCAACGAGCGCAACCCUUGUUCACUGUUGCCAGCACGUUAUGGUGGGGACUCAGUGGAGACCGCCGGGGUCAACUCGGAGGAAGGUGGGGAUGACGUCAAGUCAUCAUGCCCCUUAUGUCCAGGGCUUCACGCAUGCUACAAUGGCUGGUACAGAGAGUGGCGAGCCUGUGAGGGUGAGCGAAUCUCGGAAAGCCGGUCUCAGUUCGGAUUGGGGUCUGCAACUCGACCUCAUGAAGUCGGAGUCGCUAGUAAUCGCAGAUCAGCAACGCUGCGGUGAAUACGUUCCCGGG